AGCCUGAUCCAGCCAUGCCGCGUGAGUGAUGAAGGCCCUAGGGUUGUAAAGCUCUGGAUCCGGUGAAGAUAAUGACGGUAACCGGAGAAGAAGCCCCGGCUAACUUCGUGCCAGCAGCCGCGGUAAUACGAAGGGGGCUAGCGUUGUUCGGAAUUACUGGGCGUAAAGCGCACGUAGGCGGAUUGUUAAGUUAGGGGUGAAAUCCCAGGGCUCAACCCUGGAACUGCCUUUAAUACUGGCAAUCUUGAGUCCGAGAGAGGUGAGUGGAAUUCCGAGUGUAGAGGUGAAAUUCGUAGAUAUUCGGAGGAACACCAGUGGCGAAGGCGGCUCACUGGCUCGGUACUGACGCUGAGGUGCGAAAGCGUGGGGAGCAAACAGGAUUAGAUACCUUUGUAGUCCACGCCGUAAACGAUGAGAGCUAGCCGUCGGCAAGUUUACCUGUCGGUGGCGCAGCUAACGCAUUAAGCUCUCCGCCUGGGGAGUACGGUCGCAAGAUUAAAACUCAAAUGAAUUGACGG
rnacentral:rRNA from 1 species